rnacentral:rRNA from 1 species
AUGGAAGUGGCGCCGCUCCCUCCUGGAUACCGGUUCCAACCGACCGAUGUUGAACUCAUCCUCUACUAUCUAAAGAGGAAGAUACUGGGUAAAAAGUUGCGCCGCAAUGCUGUUACAGAAAUCGAUAUCUACAAAUUCGCCCCCUGGGAUCUUCCAGGGAAAUCUUCAAUGCCAACUGGGGAUCUUCAGUGGUAUUUCUUUUGUACUUGCGGUCGGGAGUACCCUACCGGGUCAAGAACUAACCGGUCAAACCAAGCUGGGCACUGGAAAGCUACUGGAAAGGACAGGAAGGUGGUCUAUAAUUCUCGGACUGUUGGGAUGAAGAGGACGCUGGUGUUUCAUGCUGGCAAGGGACGCAAGGAGAAAAGAACUGACUGGGUCAUGCAUGAAUAUAGGCUGGUCGAAAGCGAAAUUCCUAAUGCCGGUGUUAGACUGGAUGAUUUCGUUCUCUGCAAAGUCUAUCAGAAAAGUGGUCCAGGUCCCAAGAUUGGGGAACAGUAUGGCGCUCCAUUCGAGGAAGAGGAAGAGGAAAUGAAUGAUGAUCCAAAUGGGGAAGCUUACUGUUUAUCCCAUUCUUCCGCACCUGGACCAAGCCAUGGUGGUGUGUUGAACUCUGCGGGUCAAUCGGUUUGUGAUGGCGGCAGGACUUCCUUGAGCAUUUUGUCAGCAAAUAACGGCAAGAGCUCCUCCAGUGGUGUCCAUCCUGACCGGGCUUCUCGUCCGGAUGUUAACUGGGACAGGAUACAUAUACAGCAGUUAGCUGAUAUACUGGGUUGUCUCUCGACGAAUCAUGUAGGCCAAGAUGGUCCAUCGUCUGAUUCGACCACUUACCAUGACACAGAAGCAUUGUUUGACGAUAGUGAAGCUAUAUUUGACAUAACGGACCAAGUUGUGCCUUCUUCACUGGUUAGCCUCUGCAAGCAGUGUGACUCGUGCGGCGUUCGGCUGAUCGACCCUUUGCUGGAACCGGUGGCAGGCGAAGUGUACCUGGAGCUGAAUGACCUGCUGUUGUGCCAUGCCGGCCAUGUUCCAGACGGCAGUAGCCAGGCGCUGGUGCUGUCCAGCGGUGCAUGCCAUGAGGGCCCUCCAAUGGAUUAA